UUAGCAUGGAAUAAUGGAAUAGGACGCGUGGUUCUAUUUUGUUGGUUUCUAGGACCGCCGUAAUGAUUAAUAGGGACAGUCGGGGGCAUCAGUAUUCAAUUGUCAGAGGUGAAAUUCUUGGAUUUAUUGAAGACUAACUACUGCGAAAGCAUUUGCCAAGGAUGUUUUCAUUAAUCAGGAACGAAAGUUAGGGGAUCGAAGACGAUCAGAUACCGUCGUAGUCUUAACCAUAAACUAUGCCGACUAGGGAUCGGACGAUGUUAUUAUUUGACUCGUUCGGCACCUUACGAGAAAUCAAAGUGCUUGGGCUCCAGGGGGAGUAUGGUCGCAAGGCUGAAACUUAAAGAAAUUGACGGAAGGGCACCACCAGGGGUGGAGCCUGCGGCUUAAUUUGACUCAACACGGGGAAACUCACCAGGUCCAGA
rnacentral:rRNA from 1 species